AGCUGGCGGCAUGCUUAACACAUGCAAGUCGAACGGUAACAGGACGCUGUGAUCCCCUCGGGGGGAACUUGUCGCUGACGAGUGGCGGACGGGGGAGUAAUGCUUAGGAAUCUGCCCAGUAGUGGGGGACAACACGGGGAAACUCGUGCUAAUACCGCAUACGCCUUACGAGGGAAAGUGGGGGAUCUUCGGACCUCACGCUAUUGGAUGAGCCUAAGUCGGAUUAGCUUUUUGGGGGGGUAAAGGCCUACCAAGGCGACGAUCCGUAGCUGGUCUGAGAGGACGAUCAGCCACACUGGGACUGAGACACGGCCCAGACUCCUACGGGAGGCAGCAGUGGGGAAUAUUGGACAAUGGGGGCAACCCUGAUCCAGCAAUGCCGCGUGUGUGAAGAAGGCCUGCGGGUUUUAAAGCACUUUCAGUAGAGAAGAAAUAGUUUGAGGUUAAUACCCUCAGACCUUGACGUAACCUACAGAAGAAGCACCGGCUAACUCCGUGCCAGCAGCCGCGGUAAUACGGAGGGGGCAAGCGUUAAUCGGAAUUACUGGGCGUAAAGCGCGCGUAGGCGGUCUGGUCAGUCGGAUGUGAAAGCCCCGGGCUUAACCUGGGAAUUGCAUUCGAUACUGCCAAACUAGAAUGUUGGAGAGGGAAGUGGAAUUUCCGGGGUAGCGGGGAAAUGCGUAGAGAUCGGAAGGAACACCAGUGGCGAAGG
rnacentral:rRNA from 1 species